UGCGUGGCGGCCAGCACGGGGCGCCUCCUGGCGGGGGGAGGAGGGGGAACUUAACGCCCACCCGGCGGUCUCGGCCCUGCGCGCCCUAGGCUCAGAGAGCAGCGGUGGGAGGAGGUGCUGGGGGGCCGCCAGACUUCAUAGGUAUUGGCGCACCCAGGCAGUUGCAGGGCUGGGACCCAAGACUGAGGAGGGAAGCCUGAGACUUCAAGAAAAAGCAAAACCAUCAUCUGUGAAUUCUGCUUAAGAAGACAUGAUUUUAGAACAUCUUCCAUUCAAAAUAGCUUAUGAGAAGCACUUAAAGAAAGGCUUUAUGUAUUGGAAAAACUAACUUAUUUAACUUAUUAGAAUAUGUAUUCUUUAACAAAUGGAUCUUGAAUAAAGCAUUAUUUAAUGAC